rnacentral:rRNA from 1 species
UGGUGGAGUGAUUUGUCUGGUUGAUUCCGUUAACGAACGAGAUCUUGGCCCUCCAAUGACAGUUCGAUCGACCUGUAGUCCAUGUUCAUGCAUUGGUUUCCAUUGGUUGUCUUUGUUUCAUGGAUGAGAUCGAUUUCUGUACUCAAGGGGACAACGCCUGUUUACAAGGCGUGGAAGUGCGAGUCAAUAGCA